rnacentral:lncRNA from 1 species
AGCCAAUCUGCAUAAUCAUGGUCUGAAACAAUGGUAUUUUUUCUGCUUUUCCUGCUGAAUGUCUGCCUAAAGUGAUUCUAGUCCUAUCAUAAACUGCUUGCAGGAAUAUAGAGCAGAAUGCACAACAGAGAGGUUUCACAUGAAACAUAACAUAGUGAAUGAUUUAAUAAUGCUGCAAACUGAUUGUAUGCAUAAACAUGUGUACUACUAUUACCGUGGAUGAGUCGUGCCUCGUAUUCGUGUUUCCCAGCACAUUGUUUUACAUGUAGACUCCUCUUCUUGAAAUCUCAUGCACACUGCAUUUCCUACAGACAGCCCAAGGAAGACUCCUGCUUUCCCAGAGGCCGUACUACAGGGUUUGGCAUCUCCUGGAAGGCCGGGAAACCUUUUGGAGGCUUUACUUUUGAUGGAGCAUUGGAAUACAAUGCUUGGAAAAGAAAGCAAACCAUCUUCUGUCAUGAGAUCAAGGAGGGGACUGCUGGUCACCAUCUUUUGCCCCUACCGACAAUGCAUUAUGCUCAGCUCCUCCGUUUUCCGUUGCUGCUAUAGGACUCAGAUGGAUGGCUGCACAACCAGGGCCCAAACUAAAAGCGAUGGGACUGAUAUUCUUUUUACAUUAACAUAACUCAUCUGACUUCAGCCCCAAUGAACUUGACUGAUACUUAAUGUCAGUGACAAAUGAGCAAAAUCUGCUGCAUGCAGUGGAUAUUUUACUGAUUUCUAUUAUGUCCUCUUUUUUUUUUUUUCCCCUCAUGUUAAUGUAAGUAGAAUUUAUAAAUUCUUACUGUCCAAAAAGAAGGCACGUAGCCAGGGAAGAUGCUGCAGGGUUUUUUCUACGCAAAGAAGUGGUGAUAUUCACCCAUGCUAGAUUCAUAAUGAAUGUCAGUUUUGAUCUGUUGGUGUGCAUUUGGGGGUGGCCACUACUUAAACAUUCAUACUUAAAGCAUUAAAACAUUUUGUAAACUACUGUAGCUGAGGGCAUUAGGUACACCUACCAAGAUAGCAUAAAAAUUGGUGAAUGGGUGUGGAGACGGAAAAGGACAGAAAAUUAUUUAAAAAUAAAAUUUUAAAAAGCAAACCUGGGCA